rnacentral:misc_RNA from 1 species
CAAGUGACCCCGGUCUAACCACCGGGAUGUUCAUAACCCUUUGUUGUCCGACUCUGUUGCCUCCGGGGCGACCCUGCCUUCGGGCGGGGGCUCCGGGUGGACACUUCAAACUCUUGCGUAACUUUGCAGUCUGAGUAAACUUGAUUAAUAAAUUA